UACGUAGGCAGCAAGCGUUGUUCGGAGCUACUGGGCGUAAGGAGUGCGUAGGCGGUCCUGUAAGUUUGGUGUGAAAUCUCCCGGCUCAACUGGGAGGGUGCGCCGAAGACUGCAGGGCUUGAGUAUGGGAGAGGUAAGCGGAAUUCCUGGUGUAGCGGUGAAAUGCGUAGAUAUCAGGAGGAACACCUGUGGUGUAGACAGCUUACUGGACCAUAACUGACGCUGAGGCACGAAAGCGUGGGUAGCAAACAGG
rnacentral:rRNA from 1 species